rnacentral:rRNA from 1 species
AGAGACAGCAGUAGCCACGGUAAUACGUAGGUGGCGAGCGUUGUCCGGAAUUAUUGGGCGUAAAGGGAGCGCAGGCGGACAUAUAAGUCCAUCUUAAAAGUGCGGGGCUCAACCCCGUGAGGGGAUGGAAACUGUAUGCCUUGAAUGCAGGAGAGGAAAGCGGAAUUCCCAGUGUAACGGUGAAAUGCGUAGAUAUUGGGAGGAACACCAGUGGCGAAGGCGGCUUUCUGGACUGUAACUGACGCUGAGGCUCGAAAGCCAGGGGAGCGAACGGGAUUAGAUACCCCAGUAGUCCCUGUCUCUUAUACA